rnacentral:tRNA from 1 species
GCGGAAAUAGCUCAGUUGGUAGAGCGUAACCUUGCCAAGGUUAAGGUCGCCGGUUCGAGACCGGUUUUCCGCUCCA